rnacentral:rRNA from 1 species
CCUACGGGGGGCUGCAGUCGAGAAUUUUUCUCAAUGGGGGAAACCCUGAAGGAGCGACGCCGCGUGGAGGAUGAAGGUCUUCGGGUUGUAAACUCCUGUCAUUUGGGAACAAGGCGCACGUAUUAACUGUGCGUGCGUUGAUAGUACCAGAAGAGGAAGAGACGGCUAACUCUGUGCCAGCAGCCGCGGUAAUACGAAUCGUGCGAACGUUGUUCGGAAUCACUGGGCUUAAAGGGCGCGUAGGCGGUCGAUCAAGUCUGGGGUGAAAUCUUUCGGCUUAACCGGAAAAGUGCCUUGGAUACUGAUCGGCUGGAGGGAGGUAGGGGCAGCUGGAACUUCCGGUGGAGCGGUGAAAUGCGUUGAGAUCGGAAGGAACGCCCGUGGCGAAAGCGAGGUCCUGGACGUUUUCUGACGCUGAGACGCGAAAGCCAGGGGAGCGAACGGGAUUAGAUACCCGUGUAGUC